GGAACCUGCAGGGCGAACAGUUUCCUGAUCCUCGGUGGUGGGAGGGUCCGUCCGGUCCGGUCCGGCUGGAUGGAAAACAGCUCAAAAACAAGAGCGAGACUCCCUGUGGAUCAAUUCCUGAACUUUUCUGUUAAAGCUGUUAGUGGAGUCUGGCAGAGACAUCUCGCUGCCGAACACUUCCCGGUAGAGCGGCGGGAAACUGUAGGCAGUCUCUGGGUGAACCAAACGGAAAAACUCCAGCUUGUCGAUGUGGAGUUUACAGAUGGACUUCAUUGUCGGGAGCUUGGACAUCAUCUAUGGGAACAAGAGACAUCAAAAGAUGAUCCUGUCAGCGACGGCCCACCUGCAAACGCACAUGGUGAUGCACGUCUGUCGGCACGACGCUUCCCAGAGUCAUCCCCCCUCCCUCCGCUGCAUAAUGCCGGCCGACAUAACUGGGUCAGUGGAACAGCCAGCGCGUUCUCCCUCUGAACAGUCACGCAGUCGGCCAUGCUGGCACAGCAUCACACCACAACAACACCACAAUCCUCACAUUGAACUUCACCUUUUCAAUUAAGCAGAAAAAAGUCUAUUAAAAUGGUUAAUUGUGCGUUUAUUAAGGAUUUUGAUCUAAAAAAUUAACAUUUUACGCACAAUAAUUUUAUAAUUAAUUAUAAUUUGUCAUGAACAUGCACAGUUAGAAGGAAAAUAAAUCAGAUUUUGAUUUUGUUUUUAAAAAAAAUAAGAUCUUGUAACCUAUCUAUUACAUAAUUGCAGUUUUGGUUAACAACAACAAGCGCUCAAGCCCCUCCCUCUUCUCAUUGCAUAACUCUUAUGGAUCCCUUGGCAACAUUCACAGCCCUCUCAGGUGGACUAUGACUCACAAUUUUUUUAUUUUUAUUCUUUAAUAACCUCAAAAUGGCACCGUGUGAAUUCAAACCCCCCAAAUCCCGCACAAUUUUAGGCAACGAUUUAUAGUCUGAUUUUGAUCUAAAUUAUUCAUAUUUUUAAUUUAUUUGAAAUAAAGAUAAAAAAAUGGAGGAAUUAAAAUGUCUUUUCAUGAGAUCUGCGUGUUUCCAGCCCUUUCUGACAG